UUGGAUAUCGUUCGGGCUGUAAAACUGUUAUCAACUUGAUUUGAUUGACGAAUCCUCGAAACUUGGAACGUGUUCCAUCAAACUUAUCUGGAAGGCUAACUCGAGGCUCCUUAUGUUGUAGAACUAGUGGUUCUUGUCGAACCUGAGGUAAAGUUGUUUCUCCAAGUGCCAAAAUUUGAGGCUGGUGUAGUUUAGAUUGUGCUAUCCCAGAUACUCCAUCAUUAUGAAGCCUUGCUACCACUCCUUCAAUCUCUGCAGUUCUUUGUGAUAACGUAGCGAGGGCAUUCAUAAUAGCAUCUAACUUAGACUCCGAACUUUCUGUCAUACUAAUGUCUUGACCUCUGGCCAUUCUAAAAGAAGGACAAAAAUGACCCUAUAAGAGGCGUAAUCCCCAACCUAUAAAAUGCCUUAAGAAUUUCAAGAAGAGGGGUAAUCCACUCUCUCCAAGAAGAAUAAGACUCCAAUAUUGUAACAGUAGAAGUAUCAGUUUAAAGGAGGGUAAUCUGCAACCUCUAAAAAAUGCUAGUAUACCUUCAAGUAGAGGGAUAAUCCACACUCUACUAAGAAAGAACUAGCUCUGAUAUCUCAAAUUAGUGUAGUCUCGACAAACUGUCACGGACACAAAAUACAGACUUAAAAUCUAACAAGAAGUUCAAGAAGAAGUGGCAAAACUAGAUUAAAUAGAUGAGUACAAGAACAACACCAGAAAGGUGAGUUAGAACUCCAAGAGAUGUG
rnacentral:lncRNA from 1 species